rnacentral:rRNA from 1 species
AGCGAACGCUGGCGGCAGGCCUAACACAUGCAAGUCGAACGAACUCUUCGGAGUUAGUGGCGGACGGGUGAGUAACACGUGGGAACGUGCCUUUUGGUUCGGAAUAACUCAGGGAAACUUUUGCUAAUACCGAAUGUGCCCUUCGGGGGAAAGAUUUAUCGCCAUUAGAUCGGCCCGCGUCUGAUUAGCUAGUUGGUGAGGUAACGGCUCACCAAGGCGACGAUCAGUAGCUGGUCUGAGAGGAUGACCAGCCACACUGGUACUGAGACACGGCCCAGACAAAUAGGGGAGGAACCAGGGGGAAAUCUUGAAAAAGGGCAAAAAGGUGGAGCAGUCAAUGCCGGGUGAAUAAAGAGGUUGUAAGAAUUAAAAAAGUUUUUACCAGGGGCGAAAAAGAAGGUAACCGGAGAAAGAGACCCCGAAACUUUUGGUC